AGCGUAGACGGCACGGCAAGCCAGAUGUGAAAGCCCGGGGCUCAACCCCGGGACUGCAUUUGGAACUGCUGAGCUAGAGUGUCGGAGAGGCAAGUGGAAUUCCUAGUGUAGCGGUGAAAUGCGUAGAUAUUAGGAGGAACACCAGUGGCGAAGGCGGCCUACUGGGCACCAACUGACGCUGAGGCUCGAAAGUGUGGUAGCAAACA
rnacentral:rRNA from 1 species